CAGCCGCCGCGGUAAUGCGAAGGGGGCUAGCGUUGUUCGGAUUUACUGGGCGUAAAGCGCACGUAGGCGGACUUUUAAGUCAGGGGUGAAAUCCCGGGGCUCAACCCCGGAACUGCCUUUGAUACUGGAAGUCUUGAGUAUGGUAGAGGUGAGUGGAAUUCCGAGUGUAGAGGUGAAAUUCGUGGAUAUUCGGAGGAACACCAGUGGCGAAGGCGGCUCACUGGACCAUUACUGACGCUGAGGUGCGAAAGCGUGGGGAGCAAACAGGAUUAGAUACCCGGGUAGUCCCUGUCUCUUAUAC
rnacentral:rRNA from 1 species